rnacentral:ncRNA from 1 species
UAUAGUAGAGGCGCGGGAUUAAUGAUUAAGCAGGCUGAUGCAUGUGGAUGCAGAAGAUGCCUGACGAAAGGGAAGACCGCCGAAGUGAUGGAUAUUCCACAGGAUCUGUUGCUGGUUGUGCAGUUAAGAACUGUAUGACUGUCAUCUGAGGAUGGAGAGCUACUUGU